UACGGGGGGAGCAAGCGUUGUUCGGAUUUACUGGGCGUAAAGGGCGCGUAGGCGGCCACCGCAAGUCGACUGUGAAAUCUCCGGGCUUAACCCGGAAAGGUCAGCCGAUACUGCGGGGCUAGAGUGCAGAAGGGGCAACUGGAAUUCUCGGUGUAGCGGUGAAAUGCGUAGAUAUCGGGAGGAACACCUGUGGCGAAAGCGGCGCACUGGACCAUAACUGACGCUGAUGCGCGAAAGCUAGGGGAGCAAACAGG
rnacentral:rRNA from 1 species